AUUGAACGCUGGCGGCAUGCUUUACACAUGCAAGUCGAACGGUAACAGGGUGCUUGCACCGCUGACGAGUGGCGAACGGGUGAGUAAUGCGUCGGAACGUGCCGAGUAGUGGGGGAUAACGCAGCGAAAGUUGUGCUAAUACCGCAUACGUACUGAGGUAGAAAGUGGGGGACCUUCGGGCCUCACGCUAUUCGAGCGGCCGACGUCUGAUUAGCUAGUAGGUGAGGUAAAGGCUCACCUAGGCGACGAUCAGUAGCGGGUCUGAGAGGAUGAUCCGGCACACUGGGACUGCGACACGGCCCAGACUCCUGCGGGAGGCAGCAGUGGGGAAUUUUGGACAAUGGGCGAAAGCCUGAUCCAGCCAUGCCGCGUGUCUGAAGAAGGCCUUCGGGUUGUAAAGGACUUUUGUCGGGGAGGAAAUCCCCAGCGUUAAUACCGCUGGGGGAUGACAGUACCUGAAGAAUAAGCACCGGCUAACUACGUGCCAGCCGCCGCGGUAAAAC
rnacentral:rRNA from 1 species